rnacentral:rRNA from 1 species
GACGAACGCUGGCGGCGUGCCUAAUACAUGCAAGUCGAACGCAUUUUCUUUCACCGUAGCUUGCUACACCGAAAGAAAAUGAGUGGCGAACGGGUGAGUAACACGUGGGUAACCUGCCCAUCAGCGGGGGAUAACACUUGGAAACAGGUGCUAAUACCGCAUAAUUCCAUUUACCGCAUGGUAGAUGGGUGAAAGGCGCUUUUGCGUCACUGAUGGAUGGACCCGCGGUGCAUUAGCUAGUUGGUGGGGUAACGGCCUACCAAGGCUGCGAUGCAUAGCCGACCUGAGAGGGUGAUCGGCCACACUGGGACUGAGACACGGCCCAGACUCCUACGGGAGGCAGCAGUAGGGAAUCUUCGGCAAUGGACGCAAGUCUGACCGAGCAACGCCGCGUGAGUGAAGAAGGUUUUCGGAUCGUAAAACUCUGUUGUUAGAAAAGAACAAGGAUGAGAGUGGAAAGUUCAUCCCUUGACGGUAUCUAACCAGAAAGCCACGGCUAACUACG